GACGAACGCUGGCGGCGUGCCUAAUACAUGCAAGUUGAGCGCUGAAGGUUGGUACUUGUACCAACUGGAUGAGCAGCGAACGGGUGAGUAACGCGUGGGGAAUCUGCCUUUGAGCGGGGGACAACAUUUGGAAACGAAUGCUAAUACCGCAUAAAAACUUUAAACACAAGUUUUAAGUUUGAAAGAUGCAAUUGCAUCACUCAAAGAUGAUCCCGCGUUGUAUUAGCUAGUUGGUGAGGUAAAGGCUCACCAAGGCGAUGGUACAUAGCCGACCUGAGAGGGUGAACGGCCACAUUGGGACUGAGACACGGCCCAAACUCCUACGGGAGGCAGCAGUAGGGAAUCUUCGGCAAUGGACGAAAGUCUGACCGAGCAACGCCGCGUGAGUGAAGAAGGUUUUCGGAUCGUAAAACUCUGUUGGUAGAGAAGAACGUUGGUGAGAGUGGAAAGCUCAUCAAGUGACGGUAACUACCCAGAAAGGGACGGCUAACUACGUG
rnacentral:rRNA from 1 species